UUCAAGUGGUCUGCGGGAAAAAAGUUUGAGAAUCACUGUGCUAAGGAUAUUGAGCAGAUAGUACAAGAGUGUAGGUUUAAUAUAAUGGUACAGGACAUUCUACAAGCAGCCCUUCUCCACCCCUAGAAAUGGCCAGUUUAGGUGUAGCAGAGUGUUCACAUUGAUUUUGCUUGAGAAGACAAGCAAUGCUUCCUUGCAGUGCUUGGGGAAUCAUUCAGUGUGGUUAUAAAUUAUUCCAGCACCCACAAGAGUCUCAUGUAGCUAGUCAGCAAAAGUGACCCACACCUGGGGUAACUAAUACUAAAGGAGACUCAAACCCCCAGAAGGCCUCAUGUCUUUGCAAUUUUGUUUUUACUGAAUGCAUGUGCCUGUCCGUUGAAGCCUCUGCCAGCAGAGAAGAUCUCUCACAUUGGAAAUAAACCAUGCCUAGAUGGUCAGUUUCCACCCAUCAGAUCCAGGAUCACAAAAAGCUCUGGGGAUUCACGUAUCUGAGUGAACAAUGGAUUUGAGACCAGAGAGGUGCAAAGUAGCUGAUUGAAGGGGAGCUGCAAUGGGAUCUCCAAGAGACCUGGACAGAUUGGCUGGUGAGAGAGGUAAAAUCCCAAGGGUUCAGUUCUGGAGAUGUUACUCAUGCAAGCAGCUUCCUUGGCUUACUCGCAAGGACUUCAGGAUGGAGCUCUUCAUGUUAGUCUGACUCUUGGGGUAUGUGUACAGUUAUUGAGAUGCCACUGCUUCUCACACGGCUUUUGUGAGAUCAGUUGAAAUGCAGCACUCUCAUUGGUCAGCAGAGAGGGUGAAAUCAUCAUCAAGGUGUCAUAGUGCUCAUGACCUCAUCUCUCGUGUAUGUUUUGUCAGAGCUAGCCUUGCCCCUCAGUGUCAGAGUGAGGCAGUGACAGGUGCAGUCAAUAACCAAAGGCAGUUCAGUCUUUUUAUCGCAGUAAAGAAAUUGCUUCCCCAGUUCUGCCAGGGCUUUCCAAGCCAGACUGUUUUGCUGUUAGAGAUGGGCCCAAGUCAAAUGGAUCUGGAUUUUGAUCCCCUCCUUCAAAAACUUGAGAGGGGAGUGGGGGGUGCUGGGAUCUAGGGUUUUGGUUCAGCCGCAUCUCUAGUUGCAGAGCAGGGCAGUGGGAACCCUCAGCAAAGGAUCUCAUCUUCCAAUAGGUAAGUGCAAUGAGUCACUGGACUCUACUUAGCCGGAGUUAGUAGGGAUGGCUGCCCACUCCCCAGCUGUCCAGGGUUCACUCCCUCUGUGGGAGUGAGGAAGAGAAAGAAAAGGCUCACAGGUCUCCCCGAGAUCUCACUAACUGAUGUAGCCAUAAUCAACACUAGAGAUGGGACUGAGAUGCUAAAUUCAGAUCCAGAUUUCAAACACCACAAUGCCCGAAUCCUGGGUUUGGUUGGAUUCAUUAUAAGGAUUGGGGGGUGAGGGUGAACAGCUCUGAAAUUCUGGUCCAGAUCCUGGUUCAGAUUCCAAACCUCCCCAGAGUUUGGGAGUCCUUUGGUCUGUGAGUUUGGUUCAGGCCCUUCCCCAGUUAGUACAGCCUGAUACUGGCUGAAAUAAGGCAGCUUGAGAGAAAGUAAGAGACAUGGGUAAUGACCAAGGUGUUAAAUCUAUGCAACAUAACACAAAAAGGACCCAUGCGCUAAGGGGACUUGAUGAGUGUUGAUACAUUUCUGCCAGGGAACAGCAUGAAGAGUGAACAGGAAUUAUUCACGGCUUCACAUGGUAGUAGGAGCAGUAGCGAUGGCCAAAGCCAAAGAGGGGAAAACAGAGCUUAGAGACUAGGGAAAUAUAGGGAAAUAUAUUAAUAGUGAGAGGGACUGGUUAUUGGAAUAAACUAGCAGGGGCAGUUCCACCAGUGCAGAGAUUCAUGAAAAGCUGAGAAAAGGCUUUAGCACAAAUGGCAUUUGGGUGGGAUUUUUAAGAGUACCUAGGUGAGGUAGGAGCAUAAUCAAAAUAAGUGGAACUUGUAUCCCAGGGCACUUUUGCAGAUCCCACCCAUAGUCAUUAAGCAGGCUUCAGACACGAUGAUCUGUUGUCCAUAACCCUUUAUCAAUGUUUCUCUCUCCUUUUCUCGUAUAUAGUUCUCUCUUUUUCAUACAGUUCCUUUCCUAUCUGUCUCUCCCUUCAUGCCUGUCUUGAACUUUCUGGCUUAGUGGAUCUUCUAUUCUAUAUCCGUUUGCCUCUUUUAACCAAAAUGCUUUGCAAUUAUUAAAGAUUGAUUUUUUGGGGGGUAAAUAUUCAAGUACUGGCCCAAGGGUGUUUCCUGGCCCUACUGUGCAUGAUUCUAUGGACUCUGUUGCCUUGAAUGGAACCAGAAAACUAGUUCUAAAAGGAAGAACAAGGAUUCAAUUCUGGUGGAAGUUGGGUGGUUGAAAUAGUGGACUGGGGAGAUAGAACAGUCAAAAUGCAGCAACCUCAUAGGGGAGCUGCAAUUCAAAAGGGCUGUCUCAAUGGGGAUGUCACAUUGGGGAUGGCACCGUAUUUCUAUCACUGUCUUUCAUGUCCCAGGCCCUUGGGGUCAGGCUGGGGGAUAGGGAGGCAGAGCCAACACCAAAGCUGAACUGUACCAUUUUGCUAGACUAAUUAAACUUCUCUGCACAGGUCUCACAGUGACAAGCAUCUCCAGCUUACAAAGACGGAGAGGCACAAAGUGCUGCAGCAAGAGACUGGGACCCAUAAGUAAAGCUGCCCAAGCCCCUCAGGACAGCAUCAGCACCCACACGUCACAGAGAAGCCAGCAUUCAACGUUUUUAGGACUGGAUUGUUGAGUUCCAUGGUGACAGCUGUGGCUUGCUCCGCCUCUUGCUUAGCCCUCCUCAGCCGUUGGUUUCCCUG